rnacentral:rRNA from 1 species
AAUGAACGCUGGCGGCAGGCCUAACACAUGCAAGUCGAACGGAUCCUGCGGGAUUAGUGGCGGACGGGUGAGUAACGCGUGGGAACAUACCCAAAGGUACGGAAUAGCCUCGGGAAACUGGGAGUAAUACCGUAUGUGCUCGAAAGAGGAAAGAUUUAUCGCCUUUGGAUUGGCCCGCGUUGGAGUAGGUAGUUGGUGGGGUAAUGGCCUACCGAGCCGACGAUCCAUAGCUGUUUUGAGAGGAUGAUCAGCCACACUGGGACUGAGACACGGCCCAGACUCCUACGGGUAUCCGCAGUGGGGAAUCUUAGACAAUGGGUGAAACCCUGAUCUAGCCAUGCCGCGUGAUCGAUGAAGGCCUUAGGGUUAUAAAGAUCUUUCAGUUGGGAAGAUAAUGACUGUACCACCAGAAGAAGCCCCGGCUAACUCCGUGCCAGCAGCCGCGGUAA